rnacentral:rRNA from 1 species
AAAAACAUCGCCUCUUGCUUCCCAUAAGAGGUCCAGCCUGCCCAGUGACAAAGUUAAACGGCCGCGGUACCCUAACCGUGCAAAGGUAGCGCAAUCACUUGUUCUUUAAAUGAGGACUAGUAUGAACGGCAUCACGAGGGUUAUGCUGUCUCCCCGACCCAUUCAGUGAAACUGAUCUCCCCGUGAAGAAGCGGGGAUAAAAAUAUAAGACGAGAAGACCCCAUGGAGCUUUAAACUCAGAAUCAACUGCUACACAAAAUAACCUAAUAUUUAUGCAACUCUGAUUUCUAGUUUUCGGUUGGGGUGACCACGGAGUAAAAAUUAACCUCCACGAUGAAAGGAAAUAAUAACCUAAACCAAGAGCUACAGCUCUAAGUAUUAAUAAAUUAACCAAACUGAUCCAAUUACUUGAUCAACGAACCAAGUUACCCUGGGGAUAACAGCGCAAUCCAUUUCAAGAGCUCAUAUCGACAAAUGGGUUUACGACCUCGAUGUUGGAUCAGGAUACCCCAGUGGCGCAGCCGCUACUAACGGUUCGUUUGUUCAACGAUUAAAAUCCUACGUGAUCUGAG